CACGGGGGGGAGCAAGCGUUGUUCGGAAUCACUGGGCGUAAAGGGCGUGUAGGCGGUCAGGUAAGUGGGAUGUGAAAGCCCUCGGCUCACCCGAGGAUCUGCAUCUCAAACUGCCUGGCUUGAGUAUGGGAGAGGAUGAGGGAAUUCCUGGUGUAGCGGUGAAAUGCGUAGAUAUCUGGAGGAACACCGGUGGCGAAGGCGACAUCCUGGACCGGUAUUGACGCUGAGGCGCGAAAGCCAGGGGAGCAAACGGG
rnacentral:rRNA from 1 species